rnacentral:rRNA from 1 species
AUUGAACGCUGGCGGCAGGCCUAACACAUGCAAGUCGAACGAGUGGCGGACGGGUGAGUAAUGUCUGGGAAACUGCCCGAUGGAGGGGGAUAACUACUGGAAACGGUAGCUAAUACCGCAUACCAUCGGAUGUGCCCAGAUGGGAUUAGCUAGUAGGUGGGGUAAGGGCUCACCUAGGCGACGAUCCCUAGCUGGUCUGAGAGGAUGACCGGCCAAAAUGGAGCGUCGACACGGACCAGAAUCCCACGGGAGGCAGCAACGGGGAAUAUAGCACCAUGGGCACAAGUAUGCUGCAGAAAGGACGCGUGUAUGACGACGGCCUUCGGGUUGUAAAGUACUUUCAGCGAAGAUGAGUUACUCGCAGAAGAAGCACCGGAUAACUCCGUGCCAGCAGCCGCGGUAAUAC